AGGAAUGUGCAUCAAAUUUCCUGGGUCAGGGACUUUUCUGUCAGCAAAGGUUGUGAACUCAGGUUCUCUCCUCCUUUAACAGAUUCUUAUCAUCCAUGGGUGUCAAGGAAGAGAAUAAAAACAGAAUUGAGAUUCAAAGGUUUAAGCACACUGAGGUCUCACUGAAUUCUUCAAUCCAUUUCCCUGGCUGAGGCUGGCAGUACACUCUGUGGAUGUGAUGGAGGGAUUUUAUCAUGGACCUGGCUCUGUGUGCAAAUUACGGAUGCUAACUAGGAAAGGACAAAGAGAGAGAAAAAACUAGUGUAAUAUCUUAAAAAGAAACAUGAAGCACCUCAUCUCUGAUUCUUUUCUUUCUUACUUUAAUUUUCCUAAAAGUGACUUUAUUGAUUCAAUCAUUUUUUUUUUUGUUUUCUUUGCACUUCUGAGAAAGAAUUCAAGGUCACUGUUUCCAGUGUAUACCUUAAGACUCUAACUUUUGCCAUAGAUAUGGGCUGCUAGUUUAUUAUUUAUUUUGGAGGAUAAUCCCUGAUCAUCGUAAACUCAAAAUACAAUAUAGCUCACUUAUGACAAAGUAAGGUUAGUCUGGGGAUUAAGUUUUCCCUAUUACAUAGCUAAAGCUCACAUAUUUGAUUCUGUUCCUUAGCUCUAUCACUUAGAUUGAUAUUUUCACAUCAAGCAGGAAAAACUGCCACUCAGGUUUAAAAUAAAGAAAUAAAGAUAUUACUUCUUCUGGUCUUAUUUCCUUGCAGCUCCCUCCUGGCUUAUGGUCUGUUUUGAUCCUGUCUGCUCCCCAGGGUAGUUUAACCAAAAUUCACUUAGAAAAUUUAGUUUUAGUAUGCUGUCCUAGCCCCUGGGAAGACUGCGUACUCUGCCAUUGACACCAGGUUUGCCUCAAUGUCAAGGGUCAUGCACAUGUCCUAGGCUACUACUGCCCAUGUGGCAACUACUGAAGCCUCCUGGACUCUCUUGUGAGACUCCCUCACCUAUUCCCACAUUAUGCCCUUCAGUGGGAUAUCCACAACUCACACACUUGAGAGGUGGUCCAGCAGCUGGUCUCCUGUGCUGCAAUGUCAAAUGCCAGACAUAGCUGACUACUUUCUGAAGCCCUGAAAAGUGACUAUCCAAAGUGUCAGAGACCCUUACACUACCCCAAAACUGAAUGCUUUGUCAUGGUCAGCAUGUUAUUGUACCCAGUGUUGCACAACUCAACACACAGAUGUUCUCACACUAAGAGAAAGAUAAGAAGGUCUUCCUGAGAAAAUAUCCAUUUUACUGGAACAUUAGGAGCCAAGUUCUGCCAGUUUUACCUCUGGGCAUCAGCUCUUCACUGAAGUGAUUAAAUUAGUGACAUAACAUAAUACAAGUGAAGGCACAGGACUUCAGCUAUACGUGGACAGCCUUCUGUAAAAUUUUCUAUGGCAAAAACGCUGCUGGAAAGGAUCCUAACAGCCUCAAAUACCUGCACACUCCACAGA